rnacentral:piRNA from 1 species
UGAAUGCCCCUAUCGAAGACAGGUC